rnacentral:lncRNA from 1 species
GUGUUCGCUGACAAAUAAAUAAACCUGUUGUUCUAACUGCAUGCUACUGCAAUGCUACUAAAAGCCGCUAUGGUGUAGUGUAUUAGGCGGUAGGCGGGGUCACGGGAUGUGACGGGACAGGUCCCUCCUCCUUAGUUAAUAUUCAUGAUGGGCGGGAUUAGCCCCGCCCACUUUCUAGCAUGUUCUAUACCAAAAGUUAUAUAAGGGUCUGUUUGUUUUAAUAAAAUGCCUUUUGCCACGCACUCCCUUGUUGUGUCGGCAUCUGGUCCAGCUGCGGAUACCCGGGCACGAACAGGACGCACGGCACCGUGUAACCUGGCAGACAAGCCAAGAAAGUCAGGAACUGUCCAUCUUUGCUACAGAUGCAUGCUGGUCAAGCUUCAGUGUGUCAUGCUGCUCUUUAGAACGACUUCCAGAGCAGAACUGAUGUUCGGAGGACUACAGUCACGGUCUGCUGCUGCUGCAGGUAAAAAUAUAUAUCGACAUUAUCAGUGAGAAGAAAACAUUUAGCUUAACUGUAGAGACCAACUUGCAUAAUCCUGUUCUCUUUCAUUUGAGGUUGCUGGUAUUUCCUUAAAAAUCCUGUUUGUGGUCAUAAGUGAAAGUAUUCAUAAUCUCUGUGACUGUCCAAAUUGUUGUCGAGAGUCGAGUGAUACAUGGAGCAUUUGUCAUGAAU